CCUACGGGUGACAGCAGUGGGGGAUAUUGCACAAUGGGGGGAACCCUGAUGCAGCGACGCCGCGUGGGUGAAGAAGCGCCUCGGCGCGUAAAGCCCUGUCAGCAGGGAAGAAAAUGACGGUACUUGAAGAAGAAGCCCCGGCUAAAUACGUGCCAGCAGCCGCGGUAAUACGUAGGGGGCACGCGUUAGCCGGAUUUACUGGGUGUAACGGGGGCGCAGACGGCGAUGCAAGCCAGGCGUGAAAGCCCGGGGCCCAACCCCGGGACUGCACUUGGAACUGCGUGGCUGGAGUGCAGGAGGGGCAGGCGGAAUGCCUGGUGUAGCGGUGAAAUGCGUAGAGAUCAGGAGGAACACCGGUGGCGAAGGCGGCCUGCUGGACUGCAACUGACGUUGAGGCCCGAAAGCGUGGGGAGCAAACAGGAUUAGAUACCCGAGUAGUC
rnacentral:rRNA from 1 species